AUUGAACGCUGGCGGCAGGCCUAACACAUGCAAGUCGAACGAGUGGCGGACGGGUGAGUAAUGUCUGGGCAACUGCCUGAUGGAGGGGGAUAACUACUGGAAACGGUAGCUAAUACCGCAUACCCUCGGAUGUGCCCAGAGGGGAUUAGCUAGUAGGUGGGGUAACGGCUCACCUAGGCGACGAUCCCUAGCUGGUCGGAGAGGAUGACCAGCCACAUGGGAACUGAGACACGCUCCAGACUCCUACGGGAGGCAGCAGUGGGGAAUAUUGCACAUGGGGCGCAAGCCGGAUGCAGCCAUGCCGCGUGUAUGAAGCAGGCCUUCGGGUUGUAAAGUACGUUCAGCGGGGAGGCGUUACCCGCAUAAGAAGCACCGGCUAACUCCGUGCCAGCAGCCGCGGUAAUAC
rnacentral:rRNA from 1 species